UAUACCCUCGCUUCCCUCCUGUUUGUAUGAACAUGGGGUCGGCCCAGCGCUUGCUGCCGGGCUUGGAAGCGGAUCUGGCUUUCCCACUGCUUCAGUGGGUUUGCCGAAAAGCAGAGGCUAGAGCGAGGACCUGUCAUGGGCUCAACUGGAUAGGUAGAAGCGGUGCUGCAAAGCGCUGCCAAUACACGAAAGUUGGUGCCUUGGACCUCGCUGGCGGCCAGCAGGAAACGAGCGGUCGUGUUGUUGGCACCUAUGGUGCCAAUGGCCGCCGCCGUCUACC
rnacentral:misc_RNA from 1 species